CAUACUGCUUUGAUUUUUGUAGCUCUGAGGUAUAGUCUGAAGUCUGGAAGUGGAUACUUUCAGCUUUCUUCUUCUUUCUCAAGAUUAUUUUGGCUAGUUAGGGUCUUUUAUGUUUCCAUACAAAUUUUAAAUUCUUUAAAAAAUGCCAUUGGUAUUUGGUAAGGAUUGCACUGAAUCUGUAGAUUGCCUUGAGCAGUAUAGUCAUUUUUCACAGCAGUAAUUCUUCCAGUCCAUGAACACAUUAUAUCUUUCCAUCUGUUUGUGUUGAAUUCAGUUUCUUUCAUCACUGUCAAUUUUUUGAGUACAGGUUUUUUACCUCGUUAGGCAGGUUUAUUCCUAGGUAUUUUAUUCUUUUUGACACAGUUGUAAAUGAGAUUGUUCCCUUAAUUUCUCCAUCUUAUGGUUCAUUGUCAGUGUGUGUAAAUGCAAUGGUUCAUUGUUAGUAUGUAGAAAUACAACAGAUUUCUGUAUCUUAAUUUUGUAUUCUGCAACUUUACUGAAUUCAUUGAUGAUGAGUGUUGGUAGCGUUUUGGUGGCAUUUUUAGGAUUUCUAUGUAUAGUAUCCUGUCAUCUACAAACUGUGACAAUUUUACUUUUUCCUUUCCAAUUUGGAUUUUUUAAAAUUCUGUUUUUUUCUAUGACUGCUGUGGGUAGGACUUCCAAUAAUAUGUUGAAUAAAAGUGGUUAGAGUAGGCAUCCUUGUCGUUUCUGAUCUUAGAGGAAAUGCUUUCAUCUUUUCACCACUGAGUGUGAGGUUAAUUGUGGGACUCUCAGUUCAUGAAUAUCUAUUUAUUUAGGGUCAGUUAUCAGAGAUUUAUUCAUUUCCUUUUGUUAUGUCUUAUUUACCUGACCUCCAUGAUUCCUGAUUUGUUCUCUUGGUAUGUGUACACUUGAGUUAGAAAUCUCCUCCUACCUUCUCAACUCUGUGGUCCAGGUUGAUGCUUCAGCCUCAUGCUGACAUUUUCACAAUGUGUUCUGACAUUUUCACAAUGGAGCCUUGAUUGUUGAUAGUCCUCACAAACAUUAGUGUCAAAGGAAAACUUGACUGGGUCUUCAAAGUCUAGAUGGAAAGGAAUCUGAAAGAUUGGGAAGUUUGACUCUAUCAAUAGAGGAGCACAUUUAAAGCUUGGGAAUAUGGGAACUAUGGGUUUCCUUUAUAUUGUGAGAAAUAUUAAGGGCAUGGGAGAGGAACUCUAUGAAGGAAGUGGUAGAUGCUAGGACAUUUAUGAUGGCAUAUUUAGGAGGCUAUAGGAGUGAUGGGCCUUGAAUGUGAACCCACGUGUAGUCAGCAACCUCCUUACAGAGGAUGCUCAUGUCUGUCAACCCCUUAUCCUAGUGUCCACAGCUGAAAGGUCCGGUCAUGUUCUCCUCUCUGACUCCCCUGACUUCAUAAGACAUGUCUUAUGUCUCUGAGUGUAUCAUCUUCUCCUCUCCAGGGCACGAAGGGAGGGCAUUAACUAUGGGGCACCUGAGCCUUUACCAGGGACCGGGCCCUGUGCUGAGCACAUUGAAGCAGUGACCAUUACCUUCAUGGCAGCUCGUAGAGGUGGUACCAUUAUCCCUGCCUUUUCAAUGAAGAAUUUGAAGCAUAAAGAGUUUAUUUAACAACUAGUGAGUUGGGAGGCAGGAUUGUAUUCAUACUUCAAAGUUAUGGGCAAUUUUCAAAAAUCAGAAUUUGACUAAGACCCCGGGCAUCCCAGGCAUUGGUGACAGAUGAAGACCCAUCUGUGGGGAAUGGGACUCAUCAUGUCUACUUCCAGAGGACACCAGGGUGCUUUGUUCUGGCAGCACUGGCCUAGCAAUGUCACAUUCAGUGGAGUAGUGCUUGCCAAGUGAACUCUCUUGCUUAUGAGCAACAAAUUCCAGCUCCCUCUGAGUAUAAACCAAGACUCAAUAUAUAUGUUCAAAUCUGUACACAGAGGGAUCAUAACAAUCUUGGGUUUUUGGUGCUUUAGAUGCUGGGUUAUGGGGGUGGGAGGGACAGAGUAGUCCUGCAGAGCUCCUGGGAAGGGGAAGAGAUCAAUGGCAGCACCCUGGAGGGUGGUUGAGAGCAUAUGGGUGGGGGGUGUUGAAAAUGUGAGCAGCAGCUAUUGAGAGGGAAGCACUCCUGGCUGGGUGGAAGGCAGAUCUUUGGGCCGCAGAGCAUUUGGGCGCAGGUGGGAUUCAUUAAGGAGAAGCUGACGCACCUUCUCUGUAAGUAGGAGAAAAGAGAGAUUAGUGAGAAGGCCCUGAAAUUAGGAGGAGAAGGCUGUGUUUCCUAGGCUCUGGGGAUCAGGCCCAAUACCAUUUUGGAUCCCCAGGGUGGGCUUUCUUGAUGCCCUUCCUCUCCCUGGGUGCUGGCCUCUAGCCUGUGUUCCUAUUUAUAGACUCUGUUCAAGCACCAGACAUCUGACUUCCCUUCCCCAGGGAACCCAACUGUUCUGACCCUGACUCUAUCUGCUCUGGUGUUGAACUUGUCUGCUCCCCUCUGGACUGAGUCUGGGGAGCAAGAACAAGGGCUGACAGUCACUGUAGCACCAGCACUGCUCAGGCUCUCUUGUUGAGUGUGUGCUGAAGGGAUGAGUCCUUACAACCCUCAGGCUGGACUCCAGGCCCACAGAACAAGAACAGGAGGGGAUGCCUUAGAUGGGUGAUGGGCUGUGGAGGCACAUGGAUCCCUUGGUUUGGGUAGAGAUCACUGCGGACCCUUUUGGGCAGUGUAAUCUGUCUGAAGCUCCAACUGUCCCUGGCUUUGCUUUCAUCUCUCCCCUGUCCCCAGCUGAGUGCCCUGGAUGUGACAAGGAGGGUGGCCUGGGCACACUGAUGAGCUGAUAGCAUCUGGGCUGCUUGGGAUGCAGGUAAUCAGAUAAAAAUCUACCUUUGAACAACUAAGUUUCCCAUUUUAAGUUUUUAUAUAGGCUGUUACCUCUUUUGGGGGUGUCCUUCCUUACCUUGUUUUCCUAGUGACCUCUACUUACAUUUUAAGACUUAUUCCAAGCCGUACCUCCUCCAUGAAUCCUCUUAACCUCAUUUUGAACAAAAUGACUGUUCCUGCUCAGCAUUUAUUAUGAGUCCUGCAAUCGCAUUUUUUUCUAGUAAGGAGAUUGAGCUCUGUGACUCUUUCAUUACUUCUCUGUCCCUGGGGUGUUGUGACAACUGGGGGUCGGGGAAGUUGAGCUCCUGUCCUCUGGUCUGGCCAGCCUAAAGGGAGACUGCUGGGAAGCGUGUCACACUGAUUGCUGAGGUCACAUAUUCCAGUCCAACAAAAGACUGAACUGCCAUGCAAAUCAAUUCCUGUCCCGCCCCCCCACCAGAAUAAAUCCUUUGCAUGAUGUCUUUAGCCCAAACUGGGCCUAGGUGAGAAGGCUUCUGAAGUACGCCAGGAGGCUGAAACCCAUCAGCCCAUCCUUACUUUACAGGCAUCCUCCCUGGAACUGUAUCACCUUCAGGGGUAAAAAUUGCUACGCCUCCCUUUCUGGCAUGGGUGGUAUGACAUGAGCCAGGAAAGGGUGGGCCCUUGUCCUGCUCAGCUUCUUCCCACUCGGCAGUAGGGUCUCUGAUGAUGCUGAGAGGGUCCACCUCUGCUAGGCACUGUGUGAGGAGGACGUGCCGGCUAUGGGGCCCGAGGGUCCUGGGACUUGCCAACUACUGACCACUGGCCUCUCUCCAUGGCUUCCACCAACCGCAGUGCCAGGGGUCUGUCUCCUGGCCACCACCUCCUUCCAGGCAUGGUCCAAGUCAGACCAUAUUUGUCUUCUUCCCUUCCCCUUUAAGUUUCUCUUCCUUCAUUCCCAAGAGCUCCACGUUCAUUUUUCACACUAGCUGCUUUCACACACUGCAUCUUAUUUACUUCUCCGGGGAAAGCCCUACAGGAGCACAGGUUGAAGUGCCACAAGUUGAAACAGAAUCCUGUGGUGACUGGCGACACUCCUGGGUUGGGGCUGAAGAGGUUCCCUUUCCAACUGUGACCAGGGAGGGUCUGACAAGGUGGGGACCCAGCAGACAAGCUCC
rnacentral:lncRNA from 1 species